CCAAUAGCGUAUAUUAAAGUUGUUGCAGUUAAAAAGCUCGUAGUUGAAUUUCGGGAUCAAUAUAUCGGUCGUGCCAUUGGUACGUACUGGUAUCAUUGGUUUCUCCUUUCUGACGAACCAUGAUGUCAUUAAUUUGGUGUUAUGGGAAGUUAGGACUGUUACUUUGAAAAAAUUAGAGUGUUUAAAGCAGGCUUUAGCUUGAAUACAUUAGCAUGGAAUAAUGAAAUAGGACGUUCGAACCUAUUUUGUUGGUUUCUAGGAUCAACGUAAUGAUUAAUAGGGAUAGUUGAGGGCAUUAGUAUUCAAUUGUCAGAGGUGAAAUUCUUGGAUUUAUUGAAGACUAACUACUGCGAAAGCAUUUGCCAAGGAUGUUUUCAUUAAUCAAGAACGAAAGUUAGGGGAUCGAAGACGAUCAGAUACCGUCGUAGUCUUAACCAUAAACUAUGCCGACUAGGGAUCGGAUGAUGUUAAUUUUUUAAUGACUCAUUCGGCGCCUUACG
rnacentral:rRNA from 1 species